rnacentral:rRNA from 1 species
GACAGAGGGUGCAAACGUUGCUCGGAAUCACUGGGCGUAAAGGGCGUGCAGGCGGGCAUGUAAGUCGGGGGUGAAAUCCCUAGGCUCAACCUAGGAACUGCACUCGAAACUGCGUUUCUUGAGUGCCGGAGAGGAAAGCGGAAUUCCUGGUGUAGAGGUGAAAUUCGUAGAUAUCAGGAGGAACACCAGUGGCGAAGGCGGCUUUCUGGACGGUAACUGACGCUGAGACGCGAAAGCGUGGGGAGCAAACAGG